CCUUAACCUGCUAAAUAGUGCGGGCGACUUGCGUCGCUGCGUUCUUCUUAGAGGGACUGACUACGAUUAGUGGUCGGAAGUUUGAGGCAAUAACAGGUCUGUGAUGCCCUUAGAUGUUCUGGGCUGCACGCGCGCUACACUGACAAGGUCAGCAAGUUUAAUCCUUGACCGGAAGGUCUGGGUAAUCUUUUGAAACCUUGUCGUGCUGGGGAUAGACCAUUGCAAUUAUUGGUCUUCAACGAGGAAUUCCUAGUAAGCGCAAGUCAUCAGCUUGCGUUGAUUACGUCCCUGCCCUUUGUACACACCGCCCGUCGCUACUACCGAUUGAAUGGCUUAGUGAGGCCUCCGGAUCGCCUUUUUGGUGAAAAGUUGGUCAAACUUGGUCAUUUAGAGGAAGUAAAAGUCG
rnacentral:rRNA from 1 species